rnacentral:lncRNA from 1 species
CUCGGUCCCCUCGGCUCCGGGGGCGCCCGGCUGGGCCCAGCUCCGCGGGCGCGCCCCCGUCACCCCCUCCCAGGCCAGUUCAGGGCAGCGCCAAGGGGCCGCGGGCUCAGGCUGAGGCCUCCUCCUGCCUAGGCGUCUGGCGUCCGUUUGUCUGUCCGAGGCCUCAGCGCAGGUAAAGCGCGGGGCUGGGGGGCGCAGAGCUCCAUUGGGCUGGGAACCAGCGCGUCUCGUGCCCUUGGGGGACCCGCCUGCCCGAGCCGCCUGCUAAGCCUCCCGCUCCCCUCCACGCUGGAGCGCGCGGAGCCCGGUCUGCUCGGAACUCCACUCUGCGGGAGCGGAGGCCGGCGCCAGCCCGGGAAGCCGCGCAGGGGGCGGGAGGCCGAGCGCGAGGCCCUUGGCGCCGGGCCUCCGCGGCCAGGCCGGGCAGCUUACGAUUCUUCAUCAACUCGUAAAAUGAGAUCGCCGCGGAGCUCGAGCCUAUUUGGCGUCUCCGGAGACUAGCAAGACCCUCUGAAAGACACCGCGUCCCCAGGGAUAAUCCCCCGUGUCCGGCAAAGCUGCCCCGCUCGAGCGCGAACCCUGGGACCCAGCGCGGGAGGCAGACCAGCAGCUGGCCGCUGGGCUGUGAACGCCAGGACCGAGCGGAAGCUUCCCGCCCGGCCGCGAUCGGUGCCGCGGCUCUCAGGGAAGUGGCUACGCGCGUCCCUCGGGAAAGCAGGUAAUUCGCCUUUUUCU